AACCCGGAGACAGGUGCUGCAUGGCUGUCGUCAGCUCGUGUCGUGAGAUGUUGGGUUAAGUCCCGCAACGAGCGCAACCCUUGUCUUUAAUUGCCAGCAUUCAGUUGGGCACUUUAAAGAGACUGCCGGUGUUAAGCCGGAGGAAGGUGGGAUGACGUCAAGUCCUCAUGGCCUUUAUGCCCAGGGCUACACACGUGCUACAAUGGGUGGUACAAAGAGAUGCCAACUCGCGAGAGCGCGCCAAUCUCAGAAGGCCAUCCUCAGUUCGGAUUGGAGUCUGCAACUCGACUCCAUGAAGUUGGAAUCGCUAGUAAUCGCGGAUCAGCACGCCGCGGUGAAUACGUUCCCGGGCCUU
rnacentral:rRNA from 1 species